GAUGAACGCUGGCGGCGUGCCUAAUACAUGCAAGUCGUGCGGAAAGGCCACUUCGGUGGUACUCGAGCGGCGGACGGCAGAGUAACGCGUAGGAACAUACCCCCAAACUGAGGGAUAACUGCUCGAAAGAGUAGCUAAUACCGCAUGUGAUCUUCGGAUUAAAGCUUCGGCGGUUUGGGAAUGGCCUGCGUCCGAUUAGCUUGUUGGUGAGGUAAUAGCUCACCAAGGCGACGAUCGGUAGCUGGUCUGAGAGGAUGAUCAGCCUGACUGGAACUGAGAACGGUCCAGACUCCUACGGGAGGCAGCAGUAGGGAAUUUUCCACAAUGGGCGAAAGCCUGAUGGAGCAACGCCGCGUGCAGGAUGAAUGCCUUCGGGUUGUAAACUGCUUUAUUAGUGAAGAAUAUGACGGUAACUAAUGAAUAAGGGUCGGCUAACUACGUGCCAGCAGCCGCGGUAAU
rnacentral:rRNA from 1 species